UGGGGAAUAUUGCACAAUGGGGGAAACCCUGAUGCAGCGACGCCGCGUGAACGAAGAAGGUAUUCGUAUCGUAAAGUUCUGUCCUAUGGGAAGAUAAUGACAGUACCAUAGAAGAAAGCUCCGGCUAAAUACGUGCCAGCAGCCGCGGUAAUACGUAUGGAGCGAGCGUUGUCCGGAAUUAUUGGGCGUAAAGGGUACGCAGGCGGUUUAAUAAGUCGAAUGUUAAAGAUCGGGGCUCAACCCCGCAAAGCAUUGGAAACUGAUAAACUUGAGUAGUGGAGAGGAAAGUGGAAUUCCUGGUGUAGUGGUGAAAUACGUAGAUAUUAGGAGGAAUACCAGUAGCGAAGGCGACUUUCUGGACACAAACUGACGCUGAAGUACGAAAGCGUGGGGAGCAAACAGG
rnacentral:rRNA from 1 species